GAACCCUGAUGCAGCGACUCCGCGUGAGCGAAGAAGGUUUUCGAUCGUAAAGCUCUGUCCUAUGGGAAGAUAAUGACGGUACCAUAGGAGGAAGCCCCGGCUAACUACGUGCCAGCAGCCGCGGUAAUACGUAGGGGGCUAGCGUUGUCCGGAAUCACUGGGCGUAAAGGGUUCGCAGGCGGAAAAGCAAGUCAGGUGUGAAAGGCGAGGGCUUAACCCUCGUAAGCAUUUGAAACUGUUUUUCUUGAGAUGUGGAGAGGUAAGUGGAAUUCCUAGUGUAGCGGUGAAAUGCGUAGAUAUUAGGAGGAAUACCGGUGGCGAAGGCGACUUACUGGACACAAACUGACGCUGAGGAACGAAAGCGUGGGGAGCAAAACAGGAUUAGAUACCCCUGGUAGUCCACGCUGUAAAACGAUGAGUGCUAGGUGUCGGGAGUAUCUCGGUGCCGCAGUAAACACAAUAAGCACUCCGCCUGGGGAGUACGUACGCAAGUAUGAAACU
rnacentral:rRNA from 1 species